rnacentral:misc_RNA from 1 species
UCAAGGAAGAGCCUGUUUGCUCAUCGUUGUUGUUGUCCUUGUCAUCAUCAUUAUCACUUUCUACUUUAUUGUCAUCAUUAUCACUUGUACCUUCUGAUUCUGUUUCACUGCUAUCUGAAUCUGAAGGAACCAAUGGUUGACCACUACUUAUUGCAGAUUCAGCAGCAGCUAUAGCUUCAGGAGUAUGAAGAUCAGCAAUACCCAGCAUUA